CCUACGGGAGGCAGCAGUGAGGAAUAUUGGUCAAUGGGCGCGCGCCUGAACCCGCCAAGUAGCGUGAAGGCUGACUGCCCUACGGGUUGUAAACUUCUUUUAUCAAGGAAUAAAGUGAGGCACGUGUGCCUUUUUGUAUGUACUUUAUGAAUAAGGAUCGGCUAACUCCGUGCCAGCAGCCGCGGUAAUACGGAGGAUCCGCGCGUUAUUCGGAUUUUUUGGGUUUAAAGGGAGCGUAUAUGGGUUGGUAAGUCAGUUGUGAAAGUUUGCGGCUCAACCGUAAAAUUGCAAUUGAUACUGGCAGCCUUGAGUACGGUUGAGGUAGGCGGAAUUCGUGGUGUAGCGGUGAAAUGCUUAGAUAUCACGAAGAACUCCGAUUGCGAAGGCAGCUUACUAAACUGCCACUGACAUUGAUGCUCGAAAGUGUGGGUAUCAAACAGGAUUAGAUACCCGAGUAGUC
rnacentral:rRNA from 1 species